rnacentral:rRNA from 1 species
GACGAACGCUGGCGGCGUGCCUAAUACAUGCAAGUCGAACGCAGUGGGGACGGGUGAGUAACACGUGGGUAAACUCACAUCAGAGGGGAUAACACUUGGAAACAGGUGCUAAACCGAUACUGAUGGAUGGACCCGCGGGGCAUUAGCCAGUUGGUGGGGCAACGGCUCACCAAGGCGACGAUGCAUAGCCGAGCUGAGAGGUGGAUCGGCAACACUGGAACUGAGACACGGCCCAGACUCCUACGGGAGGCAGCAGUGGGGAAUCUUCGGCAAUGGGCGAAAGGCUGACCGAGCAACGCCGCGUGAGUGAAGAAGGUUUUCGGGUCGUAAAGCUCUGUAGGUAAGGAAGCGGUACCUACCCAGAAAGCCACGGCUAACUACGUGCCAGCAGCCGCGGUAAUAC